AACGUAUGGGUGUAAGUGCAAGGGACAUGUCUCAUUGUAAGAAAGCCCAAGAGUAAGCUAUGUGAGGUUGAUGGCGAUGCUUAAAAAGCAAUCGACUUACAAGGGUGUAAAAAAUGGGCUCGAUAUUAAAUCGAGAAAGUAUGAUUUUUUUUAUAAUUUUUUUAAAAAAUGGUUUUUGAACUAUGCAUUACUAACAAAUGAAAUUAUAAUAAACAUAAAAAAGAUAUUAACAAAAUACUAAAAGAAUAAAAAAUACUAAAAGAAAAAUAAUAUAACUAAAAGAAAUAAAAUGCUAAAAAACACCACUCAUGAGUAUUGAACCCACCCCACUCAAGAAAAUGCACACUGCCCUUCUCCACCAGACCACUCAACAAUAUUUGCUACUAAGAUACUAUCAUAAAUAUAUGAACUGGGCUAACAGAUUUAAAACAAAAUAAAAAAAAAACAAAACAAACAUUUUUAUGGUUUUUUAUUAUCUCUGUUAAAAAUAAAUUAAGCUAAAUAAAAAAUAAUAAUAAAAAAUAAAUAAAUAAUAAUAAUAAAAGAAAAUAAGAACAUAUAAACAUUUUCUGAUUUUUUAUUAAAAAGAACAAAAUAAAUUAAAUAGUAAAAAAGAAAUAAUUAAAAAUCAAGAAAAAACAAAAAAAGAAAAAAGAAAUGGAAACAGCAGAAGCAUCGUCUUCCUCACUCCCUCUCACCUUGCGAACUCAACCUUAGCUAGCAAUGGCGAACUCGCACUUCUCGUCCCUCUUAUGACGCCGCUCAUCAACGAAACCCUC
rnacentral:lncRNA from 1 species